AGUGAACGCUGGCGGUAGGACUAACACAUGCAAGUCGAACGGCAGCACAGUAAGAGCUUGCUCUUACGGGUGGCGAGUGGCGGACGGGUGAGGAAUACAUCGGAAUCUACUUUUUCGUGGGGGAUAACGUAGGGAAACUUACGCUAAUACCGCAUACGACCUACGGGUGAAAGCAGGGGAUCUUCGGACCUUGCGCGAUUGAAUGAGCCGAUGUCGGAUUAGCUAGUUGGCGGGGUAAAGGCCCACCAAGGCGACGAUCCGUAGCUGGUCUGAGAGGAUGAUCAGCCACACUGGAACUGAGACACGGUCCAGACUCCUACGGGAGGCAGCAGUGGGGAAUAUUGGACAAUGGGCGCAAGCCUGAUCCAGCCAUACUGCGUGGGUGAAGAAGGCCUUCGGGUUGUAAAGCCCUUUUGUUGGGAAAGAAAAGCAGCAGGUUAAUACCCCGCUGUUCUGACGGUACCCAAAGAAUAAGCACCGGCUAACUUCGUG
rnacentral:rRNA from 1 species